rnacentral:rRNA from 1 species
AUGGAGCGAGCAACCAACUUAUUGGAAAUCAUACAUACCGAUGUGUGCGGUCCAAUGAGUGUUGAGGUUCGCGGAGGAUAUCGUUAUGUUCUCACUCUCACUGAUGAUUUAAGUAGAUAUGGGUAUGUCUACCUAAUGAAACACAAGUCUGAAAUCUUUGAAAAGUUCAAGGAAUUUCAGAGUGAAGUCGAGAAUCAACGUGACAGGAAAAUAAAAUUCUUACGAUCAGAUCGUGGUGGAGAAUAUUUAAGUCACGAAUUUGGUACACACUUAAGGAAAUGUGGAAUAGUUUCACAACUCACGCUGCCUGGAACACCUCAGAGAAAUGGUGUGUCCGAACGUCAUAAUCGCACUCUAUUGGAUAUGGUG